AUUUGGAUAGUUUAAAAAGAAUAAUAAUUUGUGGUGUUAUUGGUGAAUAUUAAUUCUCUAAAUC
rnacentral:tRNA from 1 species